rnacentral:lncRNA from 1 species
UUUUUUUUUUUUUAAGAAAAAUUUUAAAUACCAUCCAUGUAAAUUUUUUAUUUUAGUACUUUAUGAUUUAAAGUGUAUCAAUUUAGUACUCCGUAAUUUUAUUUUAUUUUUUUAUUAUCUUCUCUAUUAAUUUUUUUUGUUAAAUCAGUGACAAAGUUAAAAUUAAAAUGUACUAAAGUGAAUAUUCGAUAAAUCUAGGUGGAUAUAUGAAGUUUUUUGUAUAUAACUUAACGAAAUGUUAACGGAGGAGCUGACGAAAGAAGAAAAAUAAAACUAUGGAGUACUAAAUUGAUACACCUUAAAGCACAGGGCACUAAAAUGAGAAUGUGCAAAAUCACAGGAGUGGUGUUUGAAAUUUACUCUUUUUUUAAAGAAAAAUAUUGUGUCACGAUCACAAUUUAAUUUGGUAAAUAUGAAUAUAUAACUGAGUUAAAUUAUCAUUUACUUUGAAUUAAUUAUUUAAUUAUUUAAAAUUUUAAUUUUCUAUCUAACUUUUAAUUUAUUUGAUUUGAAUUAUUCAAUGAUACUCUGACUUUAAAAUUUAAGCUAAUUAAUACUUUUAUAGUUUUAUAGUUGUGAGAACCGUACAAAGUAUACUAAUUAAAUCUGUUAAAAAUAAAUAAUAAAUUUAUACUUUGAAGUCAAAAAGGUAUCUACAUAUUCAAAUCAAAUAAAUUGAAUGGCUGAGUAGUAAAAUUAAAAUUUUGAAAAAUUCGAUAGUCAAUUCAAAACAAUCUAUGAUCCUUUUAUUUAUUGCUCGAUUGGAGUAGGUGAUGCUAGUGACUUGUGCAAAAUAGGAAAUGCUUUAGAUCACUCAAAAGAGUAUUCUACUCUUUUGGUACUUCGUAUUACAUGUAUAAAUCAAUCAAUAGAAUCUUCAAAAAACUUGAUUGAUCAGUACUUCUCCUACCAAAAUUGGUGCUUUAUUAAUACGAGUCCAGUUAUUAUACUCUUGUAAGUGUACAUCCUUUUGUACUCAUAAAUUUUCGGUCGUUAGAUCUACCUCUUUGAUUAUUUCUAUCCGUUAGAUUAUAGUAUUUAACCAGCCACCCACUCAACUCUAGGAAAGUACUAUCAUCCUAAUCGCACAUCCUUUCAUCCAACGGCAGAAAACUUAAUUAUGAGUACAAAUGAGUUAAUACUCAUAAGAGUAUAUAUAGUAGCCCUAGCCUUAUUAAUACAUAUUUUUUUUCGAAUUUGGGACCUCAGAUGCCAACCAUCAAACUCUUAACCAACUACGCUAGAUACAAUCGAUCGCCAUAUAUUAUUUUAAGUACUACUACUAUGGCUUUUCUAUAAUACUAUUCUUUUAAGCUUUUGAUGAAUCGAGAAAUACGAUAUGAAAAAAAAAAAUAGUUGAUUUAAGUAAAGAAAAUCUAAGACGUUAUAUAUGAAUUUACCGAUAUAACAACGGUUCUAAAAAGAAUCAUUUUAUGAAUUAUAAACUGUAUAAGAACCAUGAAUUAUAAACUGUUUCAGGAAUAUUGGAAAAUUUUGGCUAUGGACAAUUAAGAGACAAUGUAGAUCUAAUGCCAAAUUUGAUGUUGACAGGCCUAUUGAGUCCAAAUUUUAAGUACAAAACUACGCAUUCUUAUACUUCUAUAUGUCUUUUUCCUUU